CCUGAUGCAGCCAUGCCGCGUGUGUGAAGAAGGCCUUCGGGUUGUAAAGCACUUUCAGUUGUGAGGAAAAGUUAGUAGUUAAUACCUGCUAGCCGUGACGUUAACAACAGAAGAAGCACCGGCUAACUCCGUGCCAGCAGCCGCGGUAAUACGGAGGGUGCGAGCGUUAAUCGGAAUUACUGGGCGUAAAGCGCACGCAGGCGGUUUGUUAAGCUAGAUGUGAAAGCCCCGGGCUCAACCUGGGAUGGUCAUUUAGAACUGGCAGACUAGAGUCUUGGAGAGGGGAGUGGAAUUCCAGGUGUAGCGGUGAAAUGCGUAGAUAUCUGGAGGAACAUCAGUGGCGAAGGCGACUCCCUGGCCAAAGACUGACGCUCAUGUGCGAAAGUGUGGGUAGCGAACAGGAUUAGAUACCCUGGUAGUCCACACCGUAAACGCUGUCUACUAGCUGUGUGUGCCUUUAAGGCGUGCGUAGCGAAGCUAACGCGCUAAGUAGACCGCCUGGGGAGUACGGCCGC
rnacentral:rRNA from 1 species